CCUACGGGAGGCAGCAGUGGGGAAUUUUGGACAAUGGGCGCAAGCCUGAUCCAGCCAUGCCGCGUGCAGGAUGAAGGCCUUCGGGUUGUAAACUGCUUUUGUACGGAACGAAAAGACUCUGGUUAAUACCUGGGGUCCAUGACGGUACCGUAAGAAUAAGCACCGGCUAACUACGUGCCAGCAGCCGCGGUAAUACGUAGGGUGCGAGCGUUAAUCGGAAUUACUGGGCGUAAAGCGUGCGCAGGCGGUUAUAUAAGACAGAUGUGAAAUCCCCGGGCUCAACCUGGGAACUGCAUUUGUGACUGUAUAGCUAGAGUACGGCAGAGGGGGAUGGAAUUCCGCGUGUAGCAGUGAAAUGCGUAGAUAUGCGGAGGAACACCGAUGGCGAAGGCAAUCCCCUGGGCCUGUACUGACGCUCAUGCACGAAAGCGUGGGGAGCAAACAGGAUUAGAUACCCUGGUAGUCCACGCCCUAAACGAUGUCAACUGGUUGUUGGGUCUUCACUGACUCAGUAACGAAGCUAACGCGUGAAGUUGACCGCCUGGGGAGUACGGCCGCAAGGUUGAAACUCAAAUUGAAUUGACGGCUUGAGACCCAAGGCACACAGGGGAUUAGG
rnacentral:rRNA from 1 species